ACGAACGCUGGCGGCAGGCUUAACACAUGCAAGUCGCGCGCCCCGCACGGGGAGCGGCAGACGGGUGAGUAACGCGUGGGAACGUACCUUUUGGUUCGGAACAACUCCGGGAAACUGGAGCUAAUACCGGAUAAGCCCUAACGGGGAAAGAUUUAUCGCCGAAAGAUCGGCCCGCGUCUGAUUAGCUAGUUGGUGAGGUAACGGCUCACCAAGGCGACGAUCAGUAGCUGGUCUGAGAGGAUGAUCAGCCACACUGGGACUGAGACACGGCCCAGACUCCUACGGGAGGCAGCAGUGGGGAAUAUUGGACAAUGGGCGCAAGCCUGAUCCAGCCAUGCCGCGUGAGUGAUGAAGGCCUUAGGGUUGUAAAGCUCUUUUGUCCGGGAAGAUAAUGACUGUACCGGAAGAAUAAGCCCCGGCUAACUUCGCG
rnacentral:rRNA from 1 species